rnacentral:rRNA from 1 species
UACGUAGGGUGCAAGCGUUAAUCGGAAUUACUGGGCGUAAAGCGUGCGCAGGCGGUGAUGUAAGACAGUUGUGAAAUCCCCGGGCUCAACCUGGGAACUGCAUCUGUGACUGCAUCGCUGGAGUGCGGCAGAGGGGGGAUGGAAUUCCGGCGUGGUAGCAGUGAAAUGCGUAGAUAUGCGGAGGAACACCGAUGGCGAAGGCAAUCCCCUGGGCCUGCACUGACGCUCCAUGCACGAAAGCGUGGG